rnacentral:rRNA from 1 species
UACGUAGGUGGCAAGCGUUGUUCGGAAUUAUUGGGCGUAAAGGGCGCGUAGGCGGUUGGCUAAGUCAGCUGUGAAAGCCCGGGGCUCAACCCCGGAGGGUCGGCUGAUACUGGUUGACUAGAGUACGGAAGAGGUAGCUGGAAUUCCCGGUGUAGCGGUGAAAUGCGUAGGUAUCGGGAGGAACACCUGAGGCGAAGGCGGGCUACUGGGCCGAUACUGACGCUGAUGCGCGAAAGCCAGGGGAGCGAACGGG